UCUAAUUCUCGCACCAAGCCUUGUUACUAGAUGCAGAACGGGUUCAGUUUGGGCCCGUAGUCGCCCUCAAUCCUGCCACCUUGCUUCCUCUACCAGAGGAGGCAAAACAGCAUGACUGACUACACGGAUGGCAACAGCUUCUUGGCAGAGGGAGAGCGAAAGGCUAGAGCUGCGGUCACUACGGAGGACAAAGUGAUUUGGGCGAAAGCCCUGCCUGCUGGUACCUCCACACAACGGGCUGAACUCAUCGCCUUGACUCAGGCGCUCAAGAUGACAAAAGCCCUUCUCUGAGGGCCCAUUUACAGGCCCUACAGAUUGUACAGAGAGACGUCUGGGGACCUUUGGCCGCUGCUUACCAGGACAAGCUUGAGCAUCCGGUGGUGCCACACCCGUUCCAGAUUGGAGACACCGUGUGGGUACACAGACACCAGACCAAGAAUCUCGAGCCACGGUGAAAAGGACCCUACACCGUCCUCCUGACUACCCCGACCGCCCUAAAGGUAGACGGAGUCUCGGCUUAGAUCCACGCACCACACGUCAAGGCAGUCUGGUCUGAGGAAUUGACUAAUCACAACACUACACCCCAGACAUGGAGAGUUCAGCGCACUCCAAACCCCUUAAAGUUAAAACUCCUAUGUGGCUCCUCCUAGUCCUUUUGUGGCCUAGAGUCAGUGGGGAAAUAAGCCCCCACCAGACAAAAAUUUCUUGACCAAGUCGAGUGAAAGAUUUCACUCAAAGUUAGCAAAAAAAAAUGGGGGA
rnacentral:lncRNA from 1 species